GAUGAACGCUAGCGACAGGCCUAACACAUGCAAGUCGAGGGGCAGCAUGGUAUCAGCUUGCUGAUACCGAUGGCGACCGGCGCACGGGUGAGUAACGCGUAUGUAAUCUGCCUGUAACAGAGGGAUAACCCGGAGAAAUCCGGCCUAAUACCUCAUAAUACAUAUUAUUCGCAUGAGUUUUAUGUUAAAGAAAUUCGGUUACAGAUGAACAUGCGUUCCAUUAGCUGGUUGGCGGGGUAACGGCCCACCAAGGCGACGAUGGAUAGGGGUUCUGAGAGGAAGGUCCCCCACACUGGUACUGAGACACGGACCAGACUCCUACGGGAGGCAGCAGUGAGGAAUAUUGGUCAAUGGGCGAGAGCCUGAACCAGCCAAGUCGCGUGGAGGAAGACUGCCCUAUGGGUUGUAAACUCCUUUUACCUGGGAAUAACGGGCGCUACGUGUAGCGCUGUGCAUGUACCGGGAGAAUAAGCAUCGGCUAAUUCCGUG
rnacentral:rRNA from 1 species